AAUAGUUCUAGCUUUUCGCGCGGAUUAUAUUUCGUGGAGUACUAAAUAUUAUAUUUUGUGGUUUUCGAGUCAUUACACAAAGAAAAACACAUUAAUUCAACACGCAAGAAAGUCCAGAGUAAGACACAACGUAAAAUACAUAGGAAACCGGCACAAUUCUUUGAAAAUUCAACGAAACUGUGUAAAAUAUAGUUUGAGCACUCUGUGAAAAGCCGCCAUUGCAGUUCGGAAUUGUGCGCGUGCGUACAAGUGUAUAGGCUAAUAAACGAAAAAUGUACCACAAGCAUGGCAUGAGUCGGCUAUUACGUACAUAUAUACGAGCUUAUUACUAUACUAUCUAAAUCAUGGAACCGAGGGAAUCGAUGGCAUUUUGGCUUAAUCGUUGCACCCUGAGCCUGCGAUGAGCUAACGCAAACUCGAUUUCUCGACUACGAAAAAAAACAGAAAAAGGGGGAUUUAAGACACUUGGCCUUACAGGCCAGUGUAAUAACUCUAUCAUCUACAGUAUGUGAUGCGCGUGAUAUAUCUAGACUGGAAAACUACAAUCAAGGCCAAAAUUGAUUAUAGGACACUCGUGCAUGUGAUUUGUAAAGAGGUGGUAAAUGCCAGUGAUUUUCUUUUCCUUUAAAUAACAUCGAGUGAAACCUGACCCUAAGACAACCCGGCCUGAAACCCAAUCAUCACUAUAUCUUCUUAUGUUCAAAGAUUUCAAUCACGGUUAUGUUACAGGGUUGCUUUGGGAUCACUCACUUCAUGCAGUCAUCUUAAUUAUUUAUUUUCUUUCAUGUGUAUAUUUAUAGUGUCACUUUUAUUGAUCCGAGAACAAGCUAUACCCAUAAAUUUUCAUUUUUUAACAUUUAUGCAUUAUAUGUAAAAACGUUUUCAGUAAACAUUGUUAUGGAAAAAUGUAAAAGCUUGAGAUUCAAAACAAUGUGUUCAUAUAUAAGUGAAAUUGUGGCUCUUUGAAAUGUGGAAAAAGCACCAAAACGAGGAUAGUCGCCUGACUAGAUAUUUGCUAAAUCGAGCAUAAACGUUGGUAUUUUUAAUAUUUAUUUUGGCAAAGACAAUACAUGGUAUCAUAAUUAUGCAUUCUGUAAAACUGUGAACUGAACUGCCAGUCUUGAAGUAUUCUAUGUGGCGGCAUUGAUUACGUACCUUAGUUGAAAUUUACAUAAAAAUUAAUGGCAACUAUUUUUCGAAUCGAUCUACAGGGUGUCCCAAAAAAACCGCAAAACCAUUGAAAUAACGUAUUGUUGAAAUUUGAAUGCCUUAGCACUAAGCUGAACGCAAAAAUGCGUAAAGUAUUGACAAGGGUGC